rfam:Triticum urartu cultivar G1812 contig70287, whole genome shotgun sequence.
GGACGUGUGGCAGAGUUGGUUUAAUGUACCUGGCUUGAGUCUAGGCGUCUCAAUUUGAGACCGGGAGUUCGAAUCUCCCCGCGUCCG